rnacentral:rRNA from 1 species
AGAGUUUGAUCAUGGCUCAGAACGAACGCUGGCGGCAGGCCUAACACAUGCAAGUCGAGCGCCCCGCAAGGGGAGCGGCGGACGGGUGAGUAACGCGUGGGAACGUACCCCUUUCUACGGAAUAGCCUCGGGAAACUGGGAGUAAUACCGUAUAAGCCCUACGGGGGAAAGAUUUAUCGGGAAGGGAUCGGCCCGCGUUGGAUUAGGUAGUUGGUGGGGUAAUGGCCUACCAAGCCGACGAUCCAUAGCUGGUUUGAGAGGAUGAUCAGCCACACUGGGACUGAGACACGGCCCAGACUCCUACGGGAGGCAGCAGUGGGGAAUCUUAGACAAUGGGCGCAAGCCUGAUCUAGCCAUGCCGCGUGAUCGAUGAAGGCCUUAGGGUUGUAAAGAUCUUUCAGUGGGGAAGAUAAUGACUUACCCACAGAAGAGC